GGUAAGCUAUAAGAUAGUCACAUGUCAUUAGUUGAGCUGGGAACAUAAAUUAAGCAACAAUUAUAAAUAACCAAGAGUAAGAACUGAUUCAGUACCUAAAGAUUCAACAAGCUAUUACUAACACUCUUAAUCAACAGGGCAACAUCCAACUGUUAUACUAACAUUUCAAAUCAAAAAUUGGUUGUACAAAACUAAUAUCAUACAUGUAAGCUAGUAAUAUCCAAAUAACUAUGUUGAAUGGACUGAGAAGACAAUUUUGAAUAAAUGCCAAAAAAACUUCAAAGUCCCAAGUUAAUCCAUACUUCACAUGUGUUACAGCAAAAACAGACUAGGUAAUCAAGCUUCAAAUGAGCCUCCAAUAAUAGUGUUUUAAGUUGCAGUGCAAGGUCUGAAAAAUAGGGUAAUCUAAUAGAUGGGGAAGGAAGAUAAAAUAGAUAGCAACACAAGCAACAUGCAGAAAACAUAAUCUCAUAAGGCCAUGGAUUUCAAAAACUACAGAUAAAUCUCCACCCUGUAAAUUAGAAAUUGAAAUUUUUUAUACAAAGACAUGGGAAUGAAUACUAACACCUCAAAUCAAAAGCUAAUGUUUCUAUUAAUGUUGCCCUUCAUGUUGCUCUGCUACAUCAGCUAGCAACAUUAACAGAAAUUGAAAUUUUAAAUAGGAAAAACAAUACUAACACCUUAUGAAGCAAAAGCCAAUGUUGUGCUGCUACAGCACCUAGCAACAUUAACGGAAAUUGAGAUUAGCUUUGAACAAGAGCAGAUCCGAUCAAUGAAAAUGACUUUGGCGUCGUCAACGUUGCAGAUCCGGAGACAUGAGGAUUUCAGAGACUUGAAUAUAGUCAUAUUUGUAGGCAUAGGUACCUUGGCGUUUUAUGCUAUUAACAUGGAUGAUGUGAGUUUGUUCACAGAUUCAUCCUUUUUGUUUUUAGCGAAUUUGAAUUUGUAUUGUAUCGAUGUACUCUAUCAAUUUGAAUGAAUGAAUAUCGUUUAUUUUUGUCAAAAAAAAAAAAGUUACAAGAACUAUAUUUAAAAAAUUCAUAAUUUUAUCUAAACUAAAAACAUAUUUUACCUAGUAUUAAAAGAUAUACAAAAACAAUACUCUUGUAAAAUAAUUUAUGGGUAUUUGUGCUCCUUUCAAGAAUAUGCUAAUAAGUAUGUUACUUUAUUUGUAAGAGAAUCAAGCCAUUAUCACCUUACUAAGUAGUAUAAAUGAACCCAAAUGAUUCAUAAUUAGUGAUAAGUUGCAAGGUCGAUUGAGAGAAGACAUAUCCUUAAUCCAAACCCAAAUGUUUAUUGCAUUACAAUUGGAGAGUGCGAGUAGUGAAGUCUCUCACGUUACAAUUCAAGUGUAAUGGUCUAAUUUAGACUUGUAGUAUAAACUUUAAACGCUAAUUUAGACUAAAGCCCCUCUUUAAAUUGAAAAUUAAACCAUAUGAAACAUGAUAUAGUAUAAUUCAAAUUUUGAUGAAAUAUUCUAAUCUACUUUUUAUGUCGGUGCUUUCUACUCUAAUCUAAUUUUGAUGUAAUUUGAAGUUGGGAUAAAUUUUUCUUUGCAAUAUGUCCAACUUUCCUACUAUAAAACAAUAAAUAUCAUUCUGAAACGUAAGGUUCAAGAAGUUUAGUCUCUUUAAUGUUAGAAAUUGAAAAUCAGUCCCUUAAACUAAAGCAUAUUAGUUAAGUUAGUCUUUUAUCAAUUUUUUUUUGAAAGUAUCUAUCAAAACAAUCUAAAGACAUGUAUUUUAAUUUGCGUACAUCAAGACAAAUAUAUGACUUUUAAAACUGUGGUGCGAAAUCGAGAAAAAUGACCGAAGUGAUUGACAUUGUCUAAAAAAUGGACCAAAUUGCUAUUUUGAAAUUUUAAAUGAUAAAAUUCACCGACCAUUACAAAGUUACAAUUUUAAGUUUUAAAAUUUUAAUUUAGUCACUAUCAGAAGCUCCCUUCAACUGUUCAACCUCUCUUCACCUACUUUUUAAGUACAAGUUAAAUUCAAUUCUCCCUUCACAUUUAUUGUCUUUCAACCUCUCUUCACCAACUUUCUAUGUACAUUUUUUUUGAAGGAAAACUUUCUAAGUACAUGAUGUUAAGUUCAAUCCUCCCUUCACAUUUAUUUUGCCUUUCAACCUCUCUUCACAUUUUUUUAUUUUUUGACUGACAAUCUCUCUUCACAUUACAUGUAUGUCUAGCUCUCUUCAUCUACUCUAUUAACACAAAGUUAUACCUUCAAAAUCCUUCUACACUUAAAACUUCAACAUUUCUUUUACUAUAAAUUCCUUUCAACCUCUAUUCUGUCUUCUCCUACAAACAAGCUCCCUCAAUUCUAUCUCUCUCAACCCACUUUAGUUGUUCAUUUCAUUUCAGAUGUCAUAUAUCCAAAAUGAGACACUUCUAAUUAUUUUAUUUUCAAUAUUGAUUGGUCUUCUUUUAACAAAUGAUUAUAAUAUAAUAUUGACACAACAAUGACUCACGACUAGAUUAUGAAUACAUGAUAUAUGCUAAUAUUCCUUUUGAAAUUGUUUACUGUUCAUGGUCCUGGCCACCUAACUUCAGACAAAUUAGCCAAAUAGGGUUAGAGAAGUUUGAGGGCCAGAGAUGAUGGAUACUAAACUUUUCUCACAAAUAUGUCCAUCAUACAUGAUUUUGAUCACCAUACUUCAAAAUAAAUGGCUUACAAGCCUAAUAGAAGUUUGAUGACCACAAUCAAUGUUAUGACAAAGAGACUUAGCAAGGUUAUUAGUGAUAUGUCAUGUAUUUUUUGUCGUGGGCCGUGGUUGUGCCAAUAAUCACCGGUAGUAGUCUGACAUCACUUAUUGUGGAACUUCCUGUUGAUGCAAAAAUUAAAGGUUUAAAAUUGAAUGUUAUAUUUUAGUUGAAUCCAUUAAAUUUAAAUUUUUAUCUCAUAUGUUGGCAUCAUGACAAAGCUAUAACAUGGUUGGGAAAACCAAAUCUUUUUUUUCUUUUUUUUUUAAAACUAGUUUGUCUUAUAAUUCAGGAUAUAACAUGUUUAAUCAAUCUGUUUUUUUGUAAGCAUUUGUAUUAAUUGUUUGUAUCAAUUUAGUUAUUAUAUUGAAGUCAUUGAGUUGUUUAAGCAAUCUGUUUCUUUUUUAUGUUCUAGAAUUGUGAAACAUCCAAAUUUGUAUGUAAAUUAUGCUAAGGAGUAUUAGACAUGACCGGAAGCAUUUUCUGUGAUUCUUAAUUUGACUUCAUUGCAAUUUUAUGACAUUUGUACUUUCAACUUUUUGUAUGUUUGACAUUUGUUGAAAAUCUAUAUGGAAAUUGGUGAAUGAUAUAUUUAACCAUUGUUCCUGCUAUAUCUAAAUAAUUUACAUUAUGUUCCUAUGUGUAGGCAUGGCAAUGGGCGGGGUGGGGAUGGGUUUUACAUUCCCCGUCUCCAUACCUGAUUCUCAUAUACUUACCCGUUACCCUAUCUAUAUCCAACAGGGAUGAGAAAUUGAACCCCAUCCCCGUCCUCGACGGGUUCGGGUAUCCCCACCCCAUCCCCAUCCCCAUCCCCGCAUUGAAUAAUUUUUUUUAAUUAAAAAUAGAAGUUUUUUUUGCAACCCCUAGAGAAAUAUUGUAUGAAUUAUCCAACAAUAUGUACACUUUAACAUUUGUUAGACCGAUUGAUUUAGGUGCUCCUUUAAAUGUCAAUGGUAGUUUUUAUAACACGGCAAUUAUCCAACAAAAUAACAUCACAUAUCAACAUAAAGUAGUUUUUUUUUGCAUUCGGGACGGGUUUGGAUAUGGGUUCGGGGUGGGUUCCUAUAUACCCAUUACCCAUCCCAUACCCGUGUUUAAAAUGGGGAAAACUCAAACCCAUAUCCAAACCCAAUCAAAACGGGGAAAAUCCAUCAAAUUGGGUUUGGUUCGGAUGAAUACCAUGCUUACCUAUGUGGCCUCAUAUGAAAUCUUUGUUAUCCAUUCAAGGUUGACUACAAGGUAUGAUAUCUUUUCUCUAGUGAUGCAUUGGAAUUGAUUUAUAGUCAGUUGUUUUUAUUAUUACUUUCUUAUCUUGAACUAUAUAUGUUUGAUAAUGGGAAAAAGACAUUGAAGUACUUGGAUAAUAGAUUUAUUUAUUGGGUUAUUAUAUGAAAUUUUAGUCUCACAAAUUUGUUUAUGUGCUUUCAUAAUUUAGUAUAUGUUGCUUGUGUUCAAUAAAACUAUUAUUACUUUAACUAAUUAAAAGGAUACUCUCAAUAUUAUAUUUGUGACAGCCAUAGCCAAAAGCCAUGACAAGGGUUCAUUAAUGUUUAAAAUCAACACUUUGCUGUUCCUAAGGUUCAUUAAUGAUUUCAUCAGUUCCUUUUGAUUUCAAAUUAACACUAUCUUUCCAAGCAAGUCAAUAUUGAUUUGGAUCAAAUUCUUAGAUUUUAGACGAAGAAACUUAUGUUGGAGAUAGAGGAAAACAAAGAGGUAAUUUUUUUAGGUUAAAAUUGUUGGCUUUAGAUUACUAACUGUGGUUUAACUUGGAAUUGCAGUAUAUCCCUAUUAAAGACCUGGAUGCAUUAUAUUUAACAAAGCAAGAGAGGUUUGUUGCUAGGAGAUUUUUGUUGCAUAUGACAUCAAAAUUUUCACUUUUUCUACCAACCUGCCAAUCUAAAUGUACACAUUGUUUGUUUUCACUAAUCAUGAUUUCAAAAACUUGUUUGAUUUAAUUCGAUCUAUAUAAAUAGUGAAAUAAGUGAUCUGCUUCUGCAGUAUGACCUCAGCUACUUUUUAAGUCCAAAGAUACUAGAGAGUAAUGUAUCUGUCACAUGCUCCACAUCCAUUCAUUUACUGAAGAAAACUAAUAAAUCGAAUCAAGUCGUAUAAAAUAAAGUUUCUCCUCGAAUGCUUAUUACAAGUACAUACCUUGGAGCAACACUUAAACAUGUAUCAACUAUAAAUUACAUUAUACUCUAAUUUUUUUUAUUUUUUACAUUGUAUGGACUUUCUUUUCUUGUAAAGAAAACAAUGACAUGAUUGGAUCGACCGAUUUGAGCUUAGUUACUAGCAAAAUAAUUUACGAGAUUAUUGGGAGGACUUAUAGAAACAACUUAUGAUAUAUUUAUAAGUGGUUUUUAGCUUAUUUCCAUCAGCUCUACAAGACAACUUAUGAAAAUAGCUUUAAACUUAUAUGGAAAGAAUUGACUUUAUUUUACCUUUUGUUAUAAAAAAUAGCAUAUACAUAAGCACUUAUAUGUAUAAGUUCUUAAUUAUGUUGUUUAUACAAACAUGUCCCUAUUCCAACAUCUUAUAUCAGUCAGUUGUAUUUAUUGGUACUGAUCUUAUAUCAAAGUACUAGAUUAUUGAAUUAUUUUUUUUCCUUCGCUGGUCAUCUAGGAAUUCUUUUGAGAUACUUCUUGUCAAAUUUCCUAUACAUUUUCCUGAGUACUAACAUGACAUCUCCAAGCACAUUGUUAUUUUCUUCGUAUUAUCGUUUGAACGUGUGGCAAUGUUUGAAUACACAUAAAAGCCUUGUCAUGAAUAAACCAGCAACAUGAAAGAACAUAACUUAAUUUGUACACCUAAUCCUUAAUGUGAAAUCCAAGAGAAAAAAAAUGAAGAAGCGGUUACCAAUAUAUAGAAGAUUAACAAAGCUGAAGUAGCUUCGAAUUACCGACACUACCACUACAAGAAAAUCAGUGAUUAGAUACAACGAUAUCGUAGCUAAUUCGUAGCAAAUCUCUAGCAAAGGUCAAUUAUCUUUAAGCUUGAUUGCACUUUUGGACCCCUAUCUUUUCAAAAGUUGCGGUUAUGGACUCCUAACUAAUUUAAAUACAAAACAGCCCCCUAUGUUUUGAUUCUUUGGCAGUUUUGGACCCCCAAGGCAGAAAAAAAAAAAAUUGACACGUGACACCUCACUUAGGGUGCCACGUCAGCGUUGACCGAGUUAACAAUGGACCGGGGGUCCAAAACUGCCAAAGAAUCAAAACAUAUGGGGCUGUUUUGUAUUUAAAUUAGUUAGGGGUCCAUAACCGCAACUUUUGAAAAGAUAGGGAUUCAAAAGUGCAAUUAAGCCUUAUCUUUAUCGUGGCAUGGAUUGGGCGGCAAAUUAUCUAUGAAAACUUUCUUAGAUAAUUCGCAACUAAUAUUUGCCAAAUUUUAGCUAAUUCCCAACCAAUACAUAGUAAAAUAAUGUUCAAGAGUAUAUUCCUAUCUACAAAGCUAGGGUAUUAUAAAGCAAGUUCGUAGCAAAUCUAUAGCUAAAGUUUGAAUAUGAAAUUUAGGAAUUUACUGCUUUUCAUGAACAUUCUUUAUCUUUUACAUACAUACACAUUUGAAUGGAGAAAAAACAGAGAUUAGAGGACCACAAAUCUUCCUUAACGAAAGAUGAAAAUAGAAAUUCAAGGCUACCAAACCUGAAAAUUAAAUCAUUAUUAUCAAAUAAAUUUUAUGUUUGUAAGUACUUUGAAAGUGACAUAGAUUACUACGGAAAUAAAAUUAAGUACUUUCGACACUUCAUAAACUAGUUCUCUAGAGUUUGUAGCUCGUGGAACUGUAUCAAUCAUAUGUUUAAAAAUUAGAGUAAUCAAGGUUGUGGCAAGUCCCUCACGGUACGAUUCAAGUGUAGUGGUCUAAUUUAGAUCAAAGCCCCUCUCGGUACGAUUUAAGUGUAAUGGUCUAAUUUAGACAGUAGUAUUAAUAAGUUGUAGAUUGUAAACGCUAAUUUAGACCGAAGUCCCUCUUUAGAUUGAAAAUUAAAUAUGAAAUAAGAUAUAAUAUAAUUCAAGUUUUGAUGAAAUAUUCUAAUUUACUUUUUAUGAUAUUUGCUUGCUUUUCUUGCAAAAUAUUCAAAUUUGAAGACGGGAUAAAUUUUUCUUUGCAAUAUGUACAGCUUUCUUACUCUGUAACAAUAAAUUAUCAUUUUGAAACUGUAAGGUUCAAGAAGUUUAGUCUCUCUAAGGUUCGGAAUUGAAAAUUAGUCCCUUAAAUUAAAGCAUAUUAUUAGUUUAGUUAGUCUUCCUAUCGAAAUAUUUUGUUUGGAAGUAUACAUCAAAACAAUUUAAAGACCUGUAUUUUAAUUUGAAUAGUUUUUAAUUUGCUUCAUCAAGACAAACAUAUGACUUUUAAAAUUGUGGUUCGAAAUCAAGAAAAAUGACUAAAGCUAUUGACAUUGUCUUAAAAAACGACUAAAUUGCUAUUUUGAAAAUUUAAUUAGCAAAAUUCACCGACCCUUACAAAGUUACAAUUUCAAGUAUUAAAAUUUGAAUUUAGUCACUCUACAAAUUCAUGUUAUUCUUCUAUACCUCCUUUCAUUUUAAAAGCUCCCUUCAACCUCUUUACACCUACUCUCUAAGUAAAAAUUAAAUUCAAUCCUCCCUUCACAUUUACCUUGUCUUUCAACCUCUUAUCACCUACUCUACUUAUAACCUCCCUUGACAUUAAAUGUAUCUAUCUAGCUCUCUUCAUGUAUUCCAUUAACACAAAGUUACCUUCAAAAUCCUUUUACACUAUAAAAAGUCCAUUCAACAUUUCAUGUUAACGAUAAAUUCCUUUCAAAUUGAUCUCUUUUGAGUUUCCUACAAACAAGCUCCCUUCGUUCUAUCUCUCUCACUCCACUCUACUUAGCUCAUUUCAUUUCAGUUGUCAUAUAUCCAGAAUGAGACAGCUCUUCUUAUUCGAACUUCAAUAUUGAUUGGUCCUUCUUUUAACAAAUGACUAUAAUAUAAUAUUGGCACAACAGUGACUCACGGCUAUAUUAUGAAUACACGAUAUAUACCAAUAAUCCUUUCGAAAUUGUUUACUGUUCAUGGCCCUAGCCACCUAACUUCUGACUAAUUGACUGUACAGGGUUGAGAGAAGUUUGAUGGCCAGAGUCGUGAAUCGUGAACAUUUCCUCCCAAACAUGUCCAUCAUACAUGAUUUUGAUCACCAUACUUCAAAAUAAAGGGCCCACAAGCCUAAUAGAAGUUUGAUGACCACAAUCAAUGUAUGACAAACAUACUUAGAAAGGUUAUUAGUGAUAUGCCAUGUAUUUUAUUGUGGGUCAUGGCUGUGCCAAUAAUCACUUGUAGUCCUAUCCAUGCCAAAAUUAAACGUUUAAAAAUAAAGUUACAUUUUAGUUGAAUGGAUUAAAUUUGAAUUUUGUAUCUCACUUGUUAGCAUCAUGAAAAAUCUCCAACAUGGUUUGUUCCAUUGGACUAUACAUAGGUGGGAAACCAAAACUUUUUUGUUUCCCAAACUAGUUUUUCUUAUAAUGAAGGACUUAACAUCAUUUUUUUCUCAUUUGCAUUUAGGUAACUCGUUUUACAUAACAUCUCUUUUUCUGGUUUUGUAUUACUUCUCUUGAAUGAGUAGGUUGAAUCAUUGUCAAAUGACGGUAGAUAGUUCCUUUCUAUUUAUAAGAAUUUUUUGCUAAUCAAUUUAGUUAUAUUGAAGUCAUUGAGUUGUUUAAGCAAUCUUUUCUUUUGUUCAAGUAUUGUGAAACAUCCAAACUUGCAUGUAAACUAUGCUAGGGAGUAUUAGACAUGACAAGAAGCAUUUUCAGUGAUUCUUAUUUUGACUUCUUUGCUAUUUUAUGAUUAUUUUACUUUCAGUUUUUAUAUGUUUGAACAUUUGCUGAAAAUCUAGAUGGAAAUUGGUGAAUGAUAUAUUUUAACCAUUGUUCUUGUUAUGUUUAAAUAAUUUACAUUAUGUUUAUGUUUCUAUGUGGGCUCAUACGAAAUCUUUGUUAUGCAUUCAUGGUUGACUAAAAGGUAAGGACUCUUUUCUCUACCCGAUUUGAAUUGAUUUAUAGUUAGUUGUUUUCAUUAUUACUUUCUUAUCUUGAAGUAUAUAUGUUUGAUAAUGGGAUAAAAACAUUGAAGUACAUCGAUAAUAUAUUUAUUUAUUAGGUUCUUAUAUGAAAUUUUAGUCUCACAAACUUGUUUUGUGCUUUCAAAAUUUAGUAUAUAUGUUGCUUGUGUUCAAUAAAACUAUUCUUACUUUAACUAAUUAAAAAAAUACUCUCAAUAUUAUAUUUGUGUCAGCUAUAGCCGGAAGCCACGGCAAGGGUUCAUUAAUGUGUAAAAUCAACACUUGGCUGUUCAUAAGGUUCACUAAUGAUUUCACCAGUUCCUUUUGAUUGAAAAUUAACACUGUCUUUUCAAGCCAGUCAAUAUUGAUUUGGAUGAAUUAUGUAGUUUUUAGGCAGAGAAACUUAUGUUGGAGAUAGAGGAAAACAAAGAGGUAAUUUUCUUUAGGUCAUGCUAUUAUUUGUAGUAUAAUCUUCUCGCAUCCUUUUACGGUAUUCAACUUUUUGUCCUGCCAAAAUAAACAAUAUAAUGCAUGCUUCAGCAGUGGUAAGCUAUAAGAUAGUCACAGGUCAUUAGUUGAGCUGGAACAGAAAUUAAGCAACAAUUAUAAAUAACCAAGAGUAAGAACUGAUUCAGUACCUAAAUAUUCAACAAGCUAUUACUAACACUCUUAAUCAAAAGGGCAGCAUCCAACUGUUAUACUAACAUUCCAAAUCAAAAGUUGGUUGUACAAAACUGAUAUCAUACAUGUAAGCUAGUAAUAUCCAAAUAACUAUGUUGAAUGGAUUGAGAAGACAAUUUUGAAUAUAUGCCAGAAAAAACUCCAAAGUCCCAAGUUAAUCCAUACUUCACAUGUGUUACAGCAAAAACAGACUAGGUAAUCAAGCUUCAAAUGAGCCUCCAAUAAUAGUGUUUCAAGGUGCAGUGCAAGGUCUGAGAAAUAGGGUAAUCUAAUAGAUGGGGAAGGAAGAUAAAAUAGAUAGCAACACAAGCAACAUGCAGAAAACAUAAUCUCAUAAGGCCAUGGAUUUCAAAAACUACAGAUAAAUCUCCACCCUUUAAAUCAGAAAUUGAAAUUUUUUAUACAAAGACAUGGGAAUGAAUACUAACACCUCAAAGCAAAAGCUAAUGUUUCUAUUAAUGUUGCCCUUCAUGUUGCUCUGCUACAUCAGCUAGCAACAUUAACAGAAAUUAAAAUUUUAAAUAGAAAAAACAAUACUAACACCUUAUAAAGAAAAAGCCAAUGUUGUGCUGCUACAGCACCUAGCAACAUUAACAGAAAUUGAGAUUUUUAAACAAAAACAUAGGAAUGAAUUGAGAUUUUUAUAAAAAUUGAUGACAGGCACUACACAAUUGCACAGACAAGCACAUAAGCAACAGUCAAAUAACUCAUUUGAGAAGUGAGAAUUGGGUACCGUUGGUUUAAAUUUGGGAUAGGUUUGAAGGUUAGCAAAAGAUCCCCUAUAUCAGAGUUGCAACAUUGUCAACAAGCAUAGACUACAACAACCAGACCCUAUUGUAGCAUACAACACAAAACAACCAUUCAUCAGGCACAUAUAAAUCUAACACCAUAGCUGCAAUAGAACCAAAAUCCUGCAUAAUUAGAACAAAUUAGGCCCCACCCACACGAUAUAGCAAAGACGGAAAAAAACUAAGUAACAACAAUAUAAAAUGCUAUAACACGUUCAAUAUUUCAAUUCAAUCACAAGCAUGCUUAAAACAUUGU
rnacentral:lncRNA from 1 species